GUGGCUGCACCUCUCUUUUCAUGUUUCAGUUCCCUCAGCGGGAACAGAUAAGUAUUGUCUGCUUUCAGUAAAACUUGACGUAGCGAGCUGGCAGGUCCAGAGGGAGGCGGAAGGAAGUGCAGUUGUUGGUCUAUUUCUUGGGG